AGUGAACGCUGGCGGUAGGCCUAACACAUGCAAGUCGAACGGCAGCACAGUAAGAGCUCGCUCUUACGGGUGGCGAGUGGCGGACGGGUGAGGAAUACAUCGGAAUCUACUUUUUCGUGGGGGAUAACGGAGGGAAACUUACGCUAAUACCGCAUAUGACCUACGGGUGAAAGCAGUGGAUCUUCGGACCUUGCGCGAUUGAAUGAGCCGGUGUCGGAUUAGCUAGUUGGCGGGGUAAAGGCCCACCAAGGCGACGAUCCGUAGCCGGUCUGAGAGGAUGAUCGGCCACACUGGAACUGAGACACGGUCCAGACUCCUACGGGAGGCAGCAGUGGGGAAUAUUGGACAAUGGGCGCAAGCCUGAUCCAGCCAUACCGCGUGGGUGAAGAAGGCCUUCGGGUUGUAAAGCCCUUUUGUUGGGAAAGAAAAGCAGCAUGUUAAUCCCCCGCUGUUCUGACGGUACCCAAAGAAUAAGCACCGGCUAACUUCGUG
rnacentral:rRNA from 1 species